UACGUAGGGAGCAAGCGUUAUCCGGAUUUAUUGGGUGUAAAGGGUGCGUAGACGGGGAAAUAAGUUAGUUGUGAAAGCCCUCGGCUUAACUGAGGAACUGCAACUAAAACUGUAACUCUUGAGUGCUGGAGAGGAAAGUGGAAUUCCUAGUGUAGCGGUGAAAUGCGUAGAUAUUAGGAGGAACACCAGUGGCGAAGGCGACUUUCUGGACAGUAACUGACGUUGAGGCACGAAAGUGUGGGGAGCAAACAGG
rnacentral:rRNA from 1 species